GACAGAGGUGCCGAGCGUUAGGCGGAAUCACUGGGCUUAAAGCGUGUGUAGGCGGGUCGUUAAGUGCCUUGUGAAAUCCCAUGGCUUAACCAUGGGACGGCUGGGCAUACUGGCGAUCUUGAGCCAGCUAGGGGUUACCGGAACAAACGGUGGAGCGGUGAAAUGCGUAGAUAUCGUUUGGAACGCCAAUGGUGAAAACAGGUAACUGGGGCUGUGCUGACGCUGAGACACGAAAGCCAGGGGAGCGAACGGG
rnacentral:rRNA from 1 species